UACGGGGGGGGCAAGCGUUGUUCGGAAUUACUGGGCGUAAAGGGCUCGUAGGCGGCCAACUAAGUCAGACGUGAAAUCCCCAGGCUCAACCUGGGAACUGCGUCUGAUACUGGAUGGCUUGAAUUCGGGAGAGGGAUGCAGAAUUCCAGGUGUAGCGGUGAAAUGCGUAGAUAUCGGGAGGAACACCUGUGGCGAAGGCGGCCCCCUGGUUGGAUACUGACGCUGAUACGCGAAAGCGUGGGGAGCAAACAGG
rnacentral:rRNA from 1 species